AACGAACGCUGGCGGCGUGGAUAAGACAUGCAAGUCGAACGGGAUUCUUUAGCGCAGCAAUGUGUUAGGGGGUUCAGUGGCGCAAGGGUGCGUAACACGUGGGCAAUCUGCCGAAAAGCGGGGGAUAGCUCGCCGAAAGGCGAAUUAAUACCGCAUGCGGCCAGGGAGGGAAUCCUCCUGAAGCCAAAGUCGGUUGCAGCAAUGCAGCUGACGCUUUUUGANGAGCCCGCGGCCUAUCAGCUAGUUGGCGGGGUAACGGCCACCAAGGCAAUGACGGGUAGCUGGUCUGAGAGGACGACCAGCCACACUGGAACUGAGACACGGUCCAGACACCUACGGGUGGCAGCAGUCGAGAAUUUUUCUCAAUGGGGAAACCCUGAAGGAGCGACGCGCGUGGA
rnacentral:rRNA from 1 species